rnacentral:lncRNA from 1 species
AUUAAUAAAAAUGUAUAGAACCACCAUAAUAAUCAAAUGCAUAGAACUUACAGAUCGAUUGUAAAAGUCAAAUCAUUUAAUUUCAUUUAGGCCUUUACAAGCUCUUAUGAAGAUCAAUGAUAUAAGUUGGAUUUUAGUUGUCCAUUCCAAAAGUAGCUUUCUUAGCAGUCCUUUGAUGGUCGGCUGUUCUCAUAUAAGGAGAUCAGCCAUGUGCGCAGGACAUAUUAUAGUUUGGGCACAUUUGCUUGGACACAGGUGCACUCACUAUUCCUUCACUCUCAUAGCGCGAUGGGACGACAAUCCGACACCACCGGAGAGAGAUCACAAGCAGGACCGACAUUAACGUACU